CUGGAAUUGAAGGCUUAAAAUUAUGUUGUAUAAAUAAAAAAUGGAAACACUCAAUUAAAUUGCAAAUCUCGUCAGUAAAAACUAAAAAGAGAACAUAAUAAAUAUAGUGAAAGAAUAUAUCUUUCAAAUUAUUUGUGAUAUAUUUGUACAUCAUAGGUAGUUACAAAAAUUGCGUUAAGCAAAACUAUAAAUGGUGUGAUCAAAUAAAAUGCAGAACGAAACAUGCGUUGACAUUAUUUACGGUGUUUCCGUAAAGCAUAGGUAGUAAUAUAUGUAGCCUAGGUUUGAAAUGCUUGAGAUAGUACUACUGUCGUAGUUUUAUCUCCUGCAAAGUGAAAAUUUCUAUAUUUAAUGCGUUGCCUUCAUUUUUUGCACUGCAUAUAUGGGAUGACAUACUUGUGAACUAGGUGUCAGCUUGAUAUUACUUCAAAUUGCUUUCUUUCCGUCAAUACUAAAUGUUGUAGUCCUCCAUAACAUGCUUUCAAAUAGGGAAUUUCAUUUCUGUACAGAAGCAGUUUGUUUCAGUAGAACCACUUCUAAUAGUUUCCUCUUGGAAUUAGGUAGUUGUUUUCAUAUUAUGGUAGUUUCAUCUCUUGCAAAGUGGAACUUCAAACUGGUUUCGUUGCUUUAAUAGUAUCUUUUGUAGUCCUCGUCAACGUGCUUUCAAAUAAGGAGUCACUUCAUCCUUGACGCCAACUUUAUUAAAUUGUGGAGAAACUAGGCUUACUUUCGAG
rnacentral:lncRNA from 1 species